AAAUCCGAUCCGGUUAGACCUGACCCGGUAAUAUGUUCUGCAAAAUUAGGAAUUUUACACGGCAAUUGCGGCUGAAAUGGAGAGUGCAAGCUCAAAGCUUAAGAUUGCGAUCAUUCACCCCGAUCUUGGAAUAGGUGGGGCAGAGAGAUUAGUCGUUGAUGCAGCUGUUGAACUUGCAUCUCAUGGGCACAGUGUUCAUAUUUUUACAGCUCAUUACGAUAAAACCCGAUGUUUUGAAGAAACGCUUUCUGGUAUCUUUCCAGUGACAGUUUAUGGUGCUUUCCUUCCUCGGCAUAUAUUCUAUCGUCUUCAUGCUCUAUGUGCAUAUCUAAGAUGCAUCUUUGUUGCUCUCUGUUUGUUGUUUAUGUGGCCAUCAUUCGAUGCUAUACUAGCAGAUCAGGUCUCUGUUGUAAUCCCACUUUUGAAACUUAAAAAGUCAUCAAAGGUAGUGUUUUACUGCCAUUUUCCGGAUCUGCUGCUUGCAAAACAUACAACACUUCUCAGGAGGUUUUACAGGAAGCCCAUUGACUUCAUUGAAGAAUUAACGACUGGAAUGGCAGAUAUGAUACUUGUUAAUAGCAAAUUUACUGCAUCGACAUUUGCAAAUACGUUCAAACAUCUUCAUGCACGGGGGGUUCGACCAGCUGUUCUCUAUCCUGCUGUCAAUGUGGAUCAGUUUGGUGAAUCACAUUCUUACAAGUUGAAUUUUCUCUCUAUCAACCGCUUUGAAAGGAAAAAGAACAUAGAUUUGGCAGUUUCAGCAUUUGCUGCUCUUCAGAAUCUAGGGACAGAUGUCCCUCAAAGGCAGAACUUGGCUGACACUACCUUGACAAUUGCAGGUGGUUAUGACAAGCGUUUAAAAGAAAAUGUUGAGUACUUAGAGGAGCUCAAGAGCUUAGCAGAAAGGGAAGGUGUAUCUCAUCGAAUUAAAUUCAUUACAUCCUGCUCAACUGCUGAAAGAAAUGCUCUCCUCUCCCAGUGUUUAUGCGUACUUUAUACACCAAAGGAUGAGCACUUUGGUAUUGUUCCUCUGGAGGCUAUGGCAGCUUAUAAACCUGUUAUUGCAUGCAACAGUGGAGGCCCUGUUGAAACAGUUAAGGAUGGAGUCACAGGAUUUUUGUGUGAACCUACACCCCUUGAGUUCUCUUUAGCUAUGGCUAAACUCCUUCAGGAUCCUGAAACGGCAAGAAAAAUGGGUGGAUUUGCCCGGCAGCAUGUCAUAGAGUCAUUCUCCACAAAGACAUUCGGGGUGCAUUUGAAUCAGUUUCUCACUAAUAUUGCGAGGAGUAAGCAGGACUGAGAUGGGUGAAGACAGUGAAGCAAGUGGCAGAACAAGGCUGGAUGGUCUUACCAGAGAUAAUAUGAAGAGACAAUUGCCGGUUAGGGUGGGUUAACUUGAUCAGUUGAGGAGAAGGUGGAAACUUUAGCUAAGGCAGUAGAAGACAUGAAAGUUGUUGGAGAUAAGUACCGUACAUCCUGGAUGAAGAAGCAAAGAACACUCAAUAGAGUCAUGGCGGCCCUCCUAUUUUUGAUGCUGUAAACAAGCUCUUUGAAGGUCGUACUAAGGAAUGGCCAAAAGGGUCACUAGAAGAAACCGUUCAAAAUGCUGUGAAAUCAUGGGAGAUGGAACUCUCUCACAAGACCUGCUUACAAUACUUCAAAACCAUAAACCCAGAAAAAUUCAAGCUCAUGGUUUAACAG